rnacentral:rRNA from 1 species
AUUUGUUUACUCGCUCCUCCGCUCCGCCCCUUUUCCCCUUCCCCUCCCUAUCCACCACCCUCCAGCCACCGCCGCACCAACUCCUCUCUCUCUCUCUCCUGUCCCCCUCGAUUGGUUGCGCCACCAACCUGACCGCACCAAGCUGAGCCAAGCACGCCCGAGCAAAGCGCGGAGAGAGAGGACAGCUCGAGGACCGGGAGGAGCCUCCCGACAGCCGCGCGCCGCCGGCCCGUCGGUCCGGCGUCCAGAUCCCGCCCAGUUCGGAGGUACAAUUUUUCCCUGCGUGUCCGCAUGAGCAGAAGAGACAGUCGGAGAAGUGAUCUUGGACUAAACUUCUGAGAAAUUUAGGAGGCAUACAUGCAUAAUGAUGUUGGGAUGGUGUCCAGUAGAAGGAAUUCCACAGGGGCGUUCCACCGCGACGGCCCACCCAAGGACUGGUCCCAGUUUGCCGACCCCUCGCCCUCUCCUAAACUGCUCUACUCGCAGUCCUAUGUCGUCAUGAGGGGGCUGCUGGCUUCGCUGGCAUCUCUGGACUUCGCCCUGUGGUCAAGCACGAUGAAGUCCGCAUGGCGAUCGCCCGAGAGGUCGAAGUCUAAGGGGCCAGGCUGCAAGAGAGUUGCGUUUCGGCUCUUUGUUUGUUUCAUGGUCGGCAUCUUCAUCGGGUUCACGCCCUUCUUCUCGGUCGAUGUCUCUCAGAAGAUAGUCUCGAGGCUCCCGUUCGACGAUGGGGUGGAUGAUAAGGUUAAGGAGUUGGAUGCAAUCGUAGUGCAGAAAGAGGUCGAGGUGGUUGAUGAGCCCGAGGUUGAGCAGUUGAGCCCUCCGGUUCCUGCAAUGUUGGAUGAUGAGGUGGAUUUCGUCGAAGCUGCGAAACCUGCUAUUACUGAUUUGGUCAUCCCUGUGAGGAAGCUUCUGAUAGUGGUGACAAUCACUUCUGCUCGGCCACAACAGGCGUAUUACUUGAAUCGUCUAGCUCAUGUUCUGAAAGGUGUACCACCUCCUCUCUUAUGGUUAGUGGUGGAAUGGCCUGUUACUACCUUUGAAACAGCAGAAAUCCUCAGGUCUUCUGGGGUUAUGUACAGGCAUAUUGUCUGCAGGAAAAAUCUUACAAGUGUACGGAAGAUUGCUGUCUGUCAAAGGAACAAUGCAAUCUAUCAUAUCAAAAAGCAUCACCUUGAUGGUAUAGUGCACUUUGCUGAUGAAGAACGAUCAUACAUGGGUGAUGUAUUUGAAGAAAUGCGGAAAAUCAGGCGCGUUGGUGCAUGGCCUGUAGCGAACCAUGAUGCAAGUAAGUACAGGGUGGUUGUAGAAGGGCCUACGUGUAAAGGAAACCGAAUCACUGGAUGGAACACAAUUCCGAAGAAGGGUGCACCCCGUCGAUUCCCAAUUGGUUUUUCUGGGUUUGCUUUCAACAGUACAAUGCUUUGGGAUCCUCAAAGGUGGAACCGCCCAGCUAUGGAUUCUGUUAUAGUCCACUCUGGUGGUAGAGGUGGUCUGCAGGAGUCACGAUUUGUCGAGAAGCUUGUUAAAAACGAGCGUCAAAUAGAAGGCCUUCCAGACAACUGCAACCGAGUUAUGGUCUGGAACUUCGCCCUGGAACCUCCCCAGCUCAACUACCCCGCCGGCUGGUCACUGUGGAACCACCUUGAAGUUGUCAAAGACCUGUAACAUAGAGAUCCUGCCACCGGAAGUCCUCUGCUCCUACAGGCCGUUUCUCUCGGCAAGCCGGAAGGAUGAUAAGCCUUGCGGCGGUGCAGAGGUUCUGAAUCUCGACUUGGCGAUGCCCUCUAGCGGCGCUGCUAACCGAUUGCCCUCCUCCUAAACAGCCCGCGCGACGGGACCCGCAAAGUCGUAGUGUCAGUCAUACUAGUAGCAGUGCCAAUCAGAACUGCCUGACCAACUUUUUUCCUAUUUUGUGUGCUCGCUGUAUUCUUUUUGUGCCCCUUCGUGUCCCCUCCGUAUUCGCCGGUGCAUACUGCCCUGUAGUUUUUUUUCCCCACGGCCUUUCUGUGUUUAUGAUACGUUUACAGAUGUAAAAAACUGCAGCCAUUGCGGCUGUUGAACAGUGAAUGCAAUACCACAGAUUUGUAACUGUUGACCCAGUAAUGAACUCGUCUAGGCUGUAAGCUGUGUCGAAUUCCUUUUGGUGUC